UACGUAGGGGGCAAGCGUUGUCCGGAUUUAUUGGGCGUAAAGAGCGUGUAGGCGGCCAGAUAGGUCGGUUGUGAAAACUGGAGGCUCAACCUCCAGACGUCGACCGAAACCAUCUGGCUAGAGUCCGGAAGAGGAGAGUGGAAUUCCUGGUGUAGCGGUGAAAUGCGCAGAUAUCAGGAGGAACACCGGUGGCGAAGGCGGCUUUCUGGACGACAACUGACGCUGAGACGCGAAAGCGUGGGUAGCAAACAGG
rnacentral:rRNA from 1 species